AUGGCCUUCACCCCACCGAGCUUUAGCCUUGGCAUCAGUCAAGAUCAACCAGUGGUGCAAGAUCCUACGCCAGUUGCCUUUGCUUUCCUGGGAGGCAUGCCCGCGAUGAUGGCGCAACCAAUGGUCGAGGGCAGGAAGGCUGUCAAGUUCGCAGAGCCGAUCGUCCAAGGCACCCCUGAGGAUAUUUCGCCAUCACUUGAUGAAGUUUACCGCAGGAUUGAGGAGGCAGCAUUGCAGAGGAGGUCCUCACGAGGUAAGGGGAAAUCAAGUUCCAAUGUGCCUGCAGAUACGGUAUCUAAGGAUACCAUUAGAAGUGCCACCCCUGGUUCUGUGAGGCAGCAGAGGGUAGUUCACCCACCUCCCGCGGAAGACUACGAGCCCGAAGUCAAGGCCACAAAGGAGUAG
rnacentral:rRNA from 1 species